rnacentral:rRNA from 1 species
GGAGUUUGGUCCGUGUCUCAGUACCAAUGUGGGGGACCUUCCUCUCAGAACCCCUACUGAUCGUCGGCUAGGUGGGCCGUUACCCCGCCUACUGCCUAAUCAGACGCAUCCCCAUCCCAUAGCGAUAAAUCUUUGGUAUUGCUCAGAUGUCCUCAUAAUACAACAUAGGGCAUUAAUCCGACUUUCGCCGGGCUAUUCCCUACUAUGGGGAAGGUUGGAUACGCGUUACUCACCCGUGCGCCGGUCGCCAUCAGAGUAUUGCUACUCCACGCUGCCCCUCGACUUGCAUGUGUUAAGCCUGCCGCUAGCGUUCAUC